GGGAUAUGGCGAAAUUGGUAGACG
rnacentral:tRNA from 2 species